GAUGAAGAACGUAGCGAAAUGCGAUAAGUAAUGUGAAUUGCAGAAUUCAGUGAAUCAUCGAAUCUUUGAACGCACAUUGCGCCCGCCAGUAUGCUGGCGGGCAUGCCUGUUCGAGCGUCAUUUCAACCAUCAAGCCCCCGGCUUGUGUUGGGGACCUGCGGCUGCCGCAGGCCCUGAAAACCAGUGGCGGGCUCGCUGUCACACCGAGCGUAGUAGAUUUUCAUCUCGCUCAGGGCGUGCUGCGGGUUCCGGCCGUAAAAAGCCUUAUUUACCCAAGGUUGACCUCGGAUCAGGUAGGAAGACCCGCUGAACUUAAGCAUAUCAAUAAGCGGAGGA
rnacentral:misc_RNA from 1 species